rnacentral:rRNA from 1 species
UUUUAUGGUCAAGCUGCAAAGGGCAUAUGGUGAAUGCCUUGGUGCCAGGAGGCGAUGAAAGACGUGGUAAGCUGCGAUAAGCUUCGGGGAGCCGCUAAACAGGUUUAGAUCCGGAGAUCUCUGAAUGGGGAAACCUAUCCUGAGUAAUGUCAGGAUAUCUAUUGCUGAAUACAUAGGCAAUAGAGGUCAACGAGGGGAACUGAAACAUCUAAGUACCCUUAGGAAAAGAAAGCAAAUGCGAUUCCCUCAGUAGCGGCGAGCGAAAGGGGAAUAGCCCAAACCAAAUGUACGUAAUAGCCCGUAAGCGUUGUACUUUUGGGGUUGAGGGAAACUGUCGGACAAAGUUACGGAUUUGUCGGGAAGUUAUAAAUUUUAAUUUAUAGCCGAAUAGUCUGGAAAGACUAACCAUAGAAGGUGAAAGUCCUGUAAGUAAAAUAAAUUAAACUCCCUGGACAGUUUUCCCGAGUACCGCGGGACACGAGGAAUCCUGUGGGAAACUGGGAGGACCAUCUCCCAAGGCUAAAUACUACCUGGCAACCGAUAGUGAACUAGUACCGUGAGGGAAAGGUGAAAAGUACUCCUGUAAGGAGAGUGAAAUAGUACCUGAAACCAUAUGCCUACAAGCUGUGGAAGGACUAUGGAUAGUCUAUACUAUCCAGUCUAACUGCGUGCCUUUUGCAUAAUGAGUCAGCGAGUUAUUGUGUACAGCAAGGUUAAGCCGUCAGGUGGAGCCGUAGCGAAAGCGAGUCUUAAUAGGGCGAAUUAGUUGUAUAUAAUAGACCCGAAACCAGGUGAUCUAUCCAUG